rnacentral:tRNA from 1 species
GGGGGUAUAGCUCAGUGGUAGAGCAUUUGACUGCAGAUCAAGAGGUCAGGUUCAAAUCCUGGUGCCCCUA